GCGAGUACAGGGGUGGCAAACCCCCGUGCGCAAUGAAAGUGACAGAGGUUGGACUGGUGUUAGAAGCCAGGCACAAUCCGCCGGCCACAAUCCUUCGGGAGAAAGGUCUGAGUGUGAGCAUGUGUGAUAAGACCCGAAAGGUGGCGAACUAUGCCUGAAUAGGACGAAGCCAGGGGAAACUCUGGUGGAGGCUCGUAGCGAUUCUGACGUGCAAAUCGAUCGUCAAAUUUGGGUAUAGGGGCGAAAGACUAAUCGAACCAUCUAGUAGCUGGUUCCCUCCGAAGUUUCCCUCAGGAUAGCUGGAGCUCUUUUUUUCAGUUUUGUCAGGUAAAGCGAAUGAUUAGAGGCCUCAGGGGUGGAACGUCCUUGACCUAUUCUCAAACUUUAAAUGGGUAAGAGCCCAGUGUUGCUUAAUCGAACACUGGCGUUGAAUGACGGUUGUUAGUGGGCCAUUCUGGGUAAGCUGGACUGGCGAUGCGGGAUGAACCGAACGUUGAGUUAAAGUGCCUCACUGCCCGCUCACCUAGAUCCCACAAACGGUGUUGGUUCAUUUUGACAGCAGGACGGUGGCCAUGGAAGUCGGAAUCCGCUAAGGAGUGUGUAACAACUCACCUGCCGAAUGAACUAGC
rnacentral:rRNA from 1 species